rnacentral:rRNA from 1 species
AUGCGGCCACUAUUCAGAUCACCGGCUUCGGUGGUUGCAACGGUUAGUGACCUGAUCGAUGAGGUCAACUGGACCUGGAAACAUGACCUUGUCCGCGCUACCUUUAUUGCGCCGGAUGUGGAGGCCAUAUUGAACAUUCCACUCCGUCAGGGCGGUGGAGAUGAUUUCUUUGCAUGGGCACAUGAGAGGUCUGGUAUCUACUCUGUUAAAUCAGCCUAUCGAGCUCUAAUGAACCAAAAAGAGCGUUUAGCUCUUGAAGAGGGGCAGAUAGCGACGCCAUCAAUGAGUGAACAACAGAUGUGGAGCCAACUAUGGAAACUCAAAGUUGUCCCAAGAGUACGGGUAUUCUGGUGGCGGGUACUUAAGGGGAUCAUCCCCGAUGAGUGCACUCUCCACCACCGACAUAUCAAAGAUACCAGCUUAUGCAAAUUGUGUCUUGCUAUGGACGAAGACUUGAUGCAUGCACUAGUGCACUGUUCCCAUGCACGAAGCUUCUGGGAGGAGGCAAGGUUACUAUUUGAGAUCAGCUUGCCUCGGCUCCACCCCAAUACUUGGGCGUGCGACAUCCUCUGUGAAUCACGAUUUACUGACAAGGAUCGUGCUACGAUCAUCACAGUCAUGUGGGCAAUCUGGAUGUCCACAACACAAGGACGCACGACCAAGAAACCAUUGAUCCUGCUAGCUCGGUUCGUCGCAUCCGCGAAGACCUAG